rfam:Streptomyces thermolilacinus SPC6 TNC:Contig_1, whole genome shotgun sequence.
CGCUCAUCCAGAGGGGCAGAGGGACACGGCCCGAUGAAGCCCCGGCAACCCUCCAGUCGGUUCUCGCACGUUCACGCGAGGUCCCCCGGCUAGGGAAGGUGCCAAAUCCGUCUCACGGCGACACGCGCCAGUGAGAAAGAUGAGGA